rnacentral:lncRNA from 1 species
AGCAAGUACACAUGGCAAGAAUGUAAAUCCUAUCUGUCAGAAAAUUGACAGAAGAAAACAAAAAUAUUACUAUGAGAAUGACAAAUGGAAAAGAGACUAGAGAUUAUAAGUGUGUGCUAUAUUCGUAGUUUUAGAUAAUUAUUUACGCUAUUUCUGCUGGACUUACAAAUGCUCUUUUGUUUUUAUUUUUGUUUUUGUUUUUCCUUUCCUUUCCUUUCCUUCACUGAGCCGAGGGUCGAUUGGAAACAGCCUCUCUGCCCUUUCAGGGUAGGGGUAGGGGUAAGGCCCGUCUACAUAUUACCCUCCCCAGACCCCACUUCGUGGGACUAUACUGGGUAGUUGUUGUUGUUGUUGUUGUUAUU